CCGCCGGUCGUCUGGGGCCAGGUGCUCGCGUUCGUCGCGAUCGCUGAGGGCCAGACAUCCGAGGGCCUCUUCGACCUUUGGCUGGGAGACACCUCGAAGCGCGAGCCGGGCAACCUCGGCUGGGGCUCGGGCC
rnacentral:ribozyme from 1 species